GUAAAAUGUGCUUCGUGUUAAAAGUACUGCGGGCAAUCUGAGGAUUGUUAACCAUGGAGCAAGUGUGCUCAGAUCCUUCCCGAAUGUGUUUUAUAGAAGUGACUUAGAGAAUUAAAUUUAUUCCCCAACAAAAAUGGAAAUCUUUCUGAAUGUAUUCGGCCGGUCUCACCCCACCCCCUUCUGGCUUUUGUAGACUGCACCUUUAAAGGAACGUGCAGAAAUACGAUAACCUGGAACUACAUAAAUUCAUUCCCUGAUUACGGUCGAGAUUCACACAAGGCAUGAAACUGAAAGGCAUAGGCAAGGCUGUACCUAGGCAAACGCACUGGAUAUUCUAGAAACCAUCCAGCACACUCCCUAAGGAAUAGGAUUCCGGAUAGUCUGCACAUGCCUUGCAACUUCUUAACCUUGCCUGGUUUAGAACUUGCUGCCGGUUCAGGAACGUCUCAGAACCGCAAUCAGACUACGCACAACGGAUUGCAGUCCUUUCCAGAAUCAAGGGCAGCAGCUGCUGAAAUGACCACUGUACCGAGUAAACUCCUAUUUUAUCCUGAAACUGGAAUCUCAGAGAAUGACAAAGAAAUGCAUGAAGCUGAUUGAUUCUUCCAGGCUCAUAUUUGGAAAGAGGAAAUACUGUGCAAUUCAUGAACUGCCUUAUAAAGAACUUUUUCCCUUUGUUGUCCAAGAUUUUUCCUGAGACUGGCAGGAAAGGAGGUUAAAAAUGUCCGCAAGUGGGUGGCGAGGGGUGGGGAACACAGGUGCAGAGGCAGAGCACAGAAGCAAAAUACGCGAAGGGAGACGUUCAUAGAACUUUUAAAUUCCAAAGGAUUUUACGUGUUUAAAUUAAUGUAUCGUAUAUAUUUACAACGUGGACAUCAAAGUGAAUAAGUGAGAAUGUGGGAGAUAAACUUAAAAGCUAUUUUUAUUAUUUAUGUAGUCCUUGCUUGUUGUAAAAAGUCUAACAGAAGGCUAUUAAAGCAAUAAAAGCUCCCCUCUCCUCACACCUGCUUCACUUACGGGACAACCACCAUUAAAGUUAUUUCGUAUCCUUCGAGACAAUAGGCACACACAUAACUUCUUUUUUGAAUGCCGGUGGGACUAUACUGCACAGAGAGUUCUCCAACUUGCUUUUUGUUCACUUAGUAAUUGACCUUCAAUCAUUAUCCACAUCAACACACAUGGGGCAACCACGCCUUUUAAAAAGGGAAAAAACCCACAAAGGUUUGUGUGGUCAUCCACUGUAUGGCUGUGUUAUAAUUCUGCCUGCGUUUCUGGAAAUUUUGGCUGUAUCCUGCUAACGGGGCCCAUGGAGAGCACUGCUCUGAACACCUUUAUACACAUUCUCUUGCCUACGUAAUCAAAUUUGUUUCAUGGGGGAACUCCUACAAGGAGCAUUGCUGGGUCAAGGAUAGUCGAUAUUUUAUAUUUUGGUAAAUAUGGCUAAAUUCCUCUUCUGGUGAGUCUCUCUCAUAGAGCACAAGAAUCUCUCUCCCCCAUUUUGGCUGCAGAAUUAAGUUUUGUUUGUAAUAAAUAGAUGAUUUCUAUUCUACUGUGUCCACAUAUUUGCAAGGUACAGGCAUUUUUUUUAUUUGGCCAAAGAGAAGAUGAUAAAGGGCAAGUAGUUUUGUUCAAGUACGAGCAUUGGAAAUUACUAUUAACAAAAUAAAUCCAAUACAAAUGUUAUUGAAUUAAUUCCAAAGGCACACGUAAAUGAUUUGAUUAAGGAAAUUCUUGCACAGCCUAGUAGGCUGGAUAAAGAGCGAUCAGCAGUUAUUAACAACUCAUUUACAAAUACAAGUUAUAAUUAGCUAGCUCUUGAUCUGGGGCUUAUUAUAUGCCAGGCACUAUUCUAGCUCUUUACACAGAUUUAUUUAAUCUUUGUGACGAUUCCGUGAGGUCGGCACUAUGAUUACCUUCAUUUCAUAGAUUAAAAAAAGGAGGCACAGAGGUCUCAAGUGAUAUGGCCAAGGUCAUGCAGCUAAUACAAUGACAGAGCCAGAAUUCAAAGCAGGCAUCCUGACUGCUGCCUCUGGGCCCUUAACCACCAUGCUGUAUUUGAAGUUCACGUUCAAGAAACAAGGACGCACUUUACAGUUCUCUACAAAACUUUUCAUCAUAAC
rnacentral:lncRNA from 1 species